rnacentral:rRNA from 1 species
CAGUAGCCACGGUAAUACGUAGGUGGCGAGCGUUGUCCGGAAUUAUUGGGCGUAAAGGGAGCGCAGGCGGACAUAUAAGUCCAUCUUAAAAGUGCGGGGCUCAACCCCGUGAGGGGAUGGAAACUGUAUGCCUUGAGUGCAGGAGAGGAAAGCGGAAUUCCCAGUGUAGCGGUGAAAUGCGUGGAUAUUGGGAGGAACACCAGUGGCGAAGGCGGCUUUCUGGACUGCAACUGACGCUGAGGCUCGAAAGCCAGGGGAGCGAACGGGAUUAGAUACCCCAGUAGUCCCUGUCUCUUAUACA